AGUCAUACGCUCGUCUCAAAGAUUAAGCCAUGCAUGUGUAAGUAUAAAUAAUUUUACUUUGAAACUGCGAAUGGCUCAUUAUAUCAGUUAUAGUUUAUUAGAAAUACUUUACUACUUGGAUAACCGUAGUAAUUCUAGGGCUAAUACAUGAGUAAAUCCUCAACUUCGGAAGAGGUGUGUUUAUUAGUAUGAAAACCAUAUAUCUUCGGAUAUAAUAGUGAGUAAUAAUAACCUUUCAUAUCGUAUGUCGUAAGAUAACGAUAGUUCUUUCAAGUUUCUGCCCUAUCAGCUUUCGAUGGUAGUAUAUGGGACUACCAUGGCAGUAACGGGUAACGAAGAAUUUGGGUUCGAUUUCGGAGAGGGAGCCUGAGAGAUGGCUACCACAUCCAAGGAAGGCAGCAGGCGCGUAAAUUACCCAAUCCUGACAUAGGGAGGUAGUGACAAUAAAUCACAAUGCGGAACUAUUUAGUUUUGCAAUUGGAUUGAGAACAAUGUACAAAUGUUAUCGAUAAACAAUUGGAGGGCAAGUCUGGUGCCAGCAGCCGCGGUAAUUCCAGCUCCAAUAGCGUAUAUUAACGUUGUUGCAGUUAAAAAGCUCGUAGUUGAAAUGUGGGAUGAAGUAUAUGAUGAAUUUAAUAUUCAAUUAUAUAUUGAUUCCCCUCUCCAAUUUAUUAUUAUGGGUAUUAAUUUAUUUGUAAUAAGAAUUGGUCAUUUACUGUGAGAAAAUUAGAGUGUUCAAAGCAGGCAUUUGCUUGAAUAGAUUAGCAUGGAAUAAUAAUAAAAGGCUUUUAUGGUCGAUUUAAUUGGUUUGUUCAUAAAAGCAAGAUUAAAAGGAACAGUUGGGGGUAUUCAUAUUCAAUAGUUAGAGGUGAAAUUCUCGGAUUUAUGGAA
rnacentral:rRNA from 1 species